rnacentral:lncRNA from 1 species
CUCAUGGGAACUGUAGUCUCGGAUUCUCCCCACUGGUGGGUCCCAUCCAACCAGUUGAAAGCUUGACUAGAACAAAAGACUGACCCACUCCGGAGUAAGAGAGACUUCCUUCUGCCUGACUGCUUUGAGACCCGGACAUUGGCUUUUCUCAGCCUUCAGACUCAGAAGUAAACACUGGCUCCAUCUGGGUCUUAGACUCGGCCUUUGGACUGGAACUACACCAUUGGUUCUCAGGCCUUUGAACUUGGACUGGAACUAUAUCAUCAGUUCUCCUGGGUCUCCAGCUUGCCAACUUACCCUGAAGAUCUUGGGGAUCUUGGGAUUUAUUAGCUUCCAUAAUCAAAAAGCCAAUUUUUUAUAAUAAAACUAUCUAUCAAAAUAUCUACCAUUCGUUCUGUUUCCCUGGAGAAUCCUGACUGAUGUAUAUUUACUUAAAAAAAAAAAUUUUCUCACAUAGCCGGAAUAUAACU